CACCGCGGUCAUACGAGUGUCGCCCAAGUGGACAGCUGGCGGCGUAAAGUGUGGUUAGGGGCCUAAACAAGUACUAAAGCAGAACCACCUCCCGGCCGUUAUACGCACCCGAAAGCGUGAAGCCCUACCACGAAAGUGACUUUAACCCCACCCGAACCCACGAAAGCUAGGAAA
rnacentral:rRNA from 1 species